rnacentral:rRNA from 1 species
AGAGUUUGAUCCUGGCUCAGGAUGAACGCUAGCGAUAGGCUUAACACAUGCAAGUCGAGGGGCAUCACGAAUUAGCAAUAGUUUGGUGGCGACCGGCGCACGGGUGCGUAACACGUAUACAACCUACCUUCAAUUGGGGGAUAACCUGGAGAAAUUCGGACUAAUAUCCCAUAGUAAACAGAAGAGGCAUCUUUUUUGUUUUAAAGAUUUAUUGAUUGGAGAUGGGUAUGCGUAGGAUUAGCUAGUUGGUAAGGUAACGGCUUACCAAGGCGACGAUCCUUAGGGGUUCUGAGAGGAAGGUCCCCCACACUGGUACUGAGACACGGACCAGACUCCUACGGGAGGCAGCAGUGAGGAAUAUUGGUCAAUGGGCGAGAGCCUGAACCAGCCAAGUCGCGUGAAGGAUGACUGUCUUAUGGAUUGUAAACUUCUUUUGUAGGGGAAUAAAGAAUGGUACGUGUACCAUAGUGAAUGUACCCUACGAAUAAGCAUCGGCUAACUCCGUGCCAGCAGCCGCGGUAAUACGGAGGAUGCGAGCGUUAUCCGGAUUUAUUGGGUUUAAAGGGUGCGUAGGCGGCCUGUUAAGUCAGCGGUGAAAUCUAGGGGCUUAACUCCUAAAUUGCCAUUGAUACUGGUGGGCUUGAGUGUAGAUGAGGUAGGCGGAAUGCGUGGUGUAGCGGUGGAAUGCAUAGAUAUCACGCAGAACUCCAAUUGCGAAGGCAGCUUACUAAGGUACAACUGACGCUGAAGCACGAAAGCGUGGGUAUCAAACAGGAUUAGAUACCCUGGUAGUCCACGCAGUAAACGAUGAAUACUAGAUUUUUGCGAUAUAGUGUAAGAGUCUAAGCGAAAGCGAUAAGUAUUCCACCUGGGGAGUACGCCGGCAACGGUGAAACUCAAAGGAAUUGACGGGGGCCCG